CCCGCACAAGCGGUGGAUGAUGUGGAUUAAUUCGAUGCAACGCGAAAAACCUUACCUACCCUUGACAUGUCUAGAAUUUUGAAGAGAUUCAAAAGUGCUCGCAAGAGAACUAGAACACAGGUGCUGCAUGGCUGUCGUCAGCUCGUGUCGUGAGAUGUUGGGUUAAGUCCCGCAACGAGCGCAACCCUUAUCAUUAGUUGCUACGCAAGGGCACUCUAAUGAGACUGCCGGUGACAAACCGGAGGAAGGUGGGGAUGACGUCAAGUCCUCAUGGCCCUUAUGGGUAGGGCUUCACACGUCAUACAAUGGUCGGGACAGAGGGUUGCCAACCCGCGAGGGGGAGCUAAUCUCAUAAACCCGAUCGUAGUCCGGAUCGUAGUCUGCAACUCGACUACGUGAAGUCGGAAUCGCUAGUAAUCGCGGAUCAGCAUGUCGCGGUGAAUACGUUCUCGGGUCUUGUACACACCGCCCGUCACACCAUGGGAGUGGGUUUUACCAGAAGUAGUUAGCCUAACCGUAAGGAGGGCGAUUACCACGGUAGGAUUCAUGACUGGGGUGGAGUCGUAACAAGGUAGCCGUAUCGGAAGGUGCGGCUGGAUCACCUCCU
rnacentral:rRNA from 1 species